rnacentral:rRNA from 1 species
GACGUAGGGCGCGAGCGUUGUUCGGAGUUACUGGGCGUAAAGGGUGCGUAGGCGGUUGUGUAAGACAGAUGUGAAAUCCCCGGGCUCAACCUGGGAACUGCAUUUGUGACUGCACGGCUGGAGUGCGGCAGAGGGGGAUGGAAUUCCGCGUGUAGCAGUGAAAUGCGUAGAUAUGCGGAGGAACACCGAUGGCGAAGGCAAUCCCCUGGGCCUGCACUGACGCUCAUGCACGAAAGCGUGGGGAGCAAACAGG